rnacentral:sRNA from 1 species
UUGCGCCUGCGGAAGAUCCGGCACAGACCUGAAAUUACGCUUCGCAGGCAGCUGGUCUGUGUACGAUCCGGUACAUUCCCACCGGGAAUUUAAUGAUUUU